rfam:Brassica napus, WGS project CCCW01000000 data, contig: 12284
GGAAGUUAAGAAACUGUUUCUUAGCUUUUAACUAAAAAACUAAGAACCGGUUCUUAAAUAAGGACUUUAAGAACCAGUUCUUAGCCUUUUUUAGUUAAAAGUUAAGAAACAGUUUCGUAACUUCC